GACGUAGGGCGCGAGCGUUGUCCGGAUUUACUGGGCGUAAAGAGCGCGCAGGCGUCGUCCAAGUCGCGUGUGAAAGCCCCCGGCUCAACUGGGGGAGGGUCACGCGAUACUGGUCGACUCGAAGGCAGGAGAGGGUAGUGGAAUUCCCGGUGUAGUGGUGAAAUGCGUAGAUAUCUGGAGGAACACCGGUGGCGAAGGCGGCAUUCUGGACCGACAUUGACGCUGAGGAGCGAAAGCGUGGGGAGCAAACAGGG
rnacentral:rRNA from 1 species